rfam:Saccharophagus degradans 2-40, complete genome.
CACUCUAAAUGGCUAACCGUCGCGAAAGCGCGGCCACGCAAAGCUUCCGGUCUAAGGGUAUGUAAACCAUAUCUACGAUAGCGGGGUUGCUGGA